GUUCUUCUGGGAGCGAUUCCGAUGACAAUGCACAAUGAAGCGGGAUAUGAUGAACAAGAAGAAAAGGGUCUGAAAAGAUCCAAAAUGGAGAGUUACAAACCCCUCUCGCGCAGCACGGAGUGGACCGUUGACCAGAUAUUUGUCUGAAUGAGGUAUUGUUUAUCUCUUCAUUUGUGCAAAUUAUUUGUUCUCUCUUUUGCUAUUACACAAUGUGGAUCAAUGCUGAUUAGAUUAAAAUCUUUUUAGGGCUGUAAAAUCUUCAGAAUGUGGAAUAGAGAGGGCUUCACAAUGGGUUGGGAAGUCUAGCAGUUUCUGCCUCGCUAUGGCUCUUGAAGAAGACAAUAACAUAAACAAAAACUUGGAAGAACCUGAACAAUGGAGAAUGAGGGAAGGGAAAGAUGUAGGUAAAGGGAGGGGAUGAUAGUUCAGAGGAGAACAGUGUAGGAAUGUAGGAGAAAAUCAGGUUUAGAGUUUGAGUUCUUUUUUGUUUUUUACUCUUUUGUGUACACAUCAUUACACUUUUAUAUACAUAUGCUUCAAUGUCAAUCAAUGUGCAAAAUUUUGUGGGUUUGAAACUUGGAUUCUAA
rnacentral:lncRNA from 1 species